rnacentral:rRNA from 1 species
AUUGAACGCUGGCGGCAGGCCUAACACAUGCAAGUCGAGCGGAUGAAGGGAGCUUGCUCCUGGAUUCAGCGGCGGACGGGUGAGUAAUGCCUAGGAAUCUGCCUGGUAGUGGGGGAUAACGUCCGGAAACGGGCGCUAAUACCGCAUACGUCCUGAGGGAGAAAGUGGGGGAUCUUCGGACCUCACGCUAUCAGAUGAGCCUAGGUCGGAUUAGCUAGUUGGUGGGGUAAAGGCCUACCAAGGCGACGAUCCGUAACUGGUCUGAGAGGAUGAUCAGUCACACUGGAACUGAGACACGGUCCAGACUCCUACGGGGGGCAGCAGUGGGGAAUAUUGGACAAUGGGCGAAAGCCUGAUCCAGCCAUGCCGCGGGUGUGAAGAAGGUCUUCGGAUUGUAAAGCACUUUAAGUUGGGGGGAAGGGCAGUAAGUUUAUACCUUGCUGUUUUGACGGUACCAACAGAAUAAGCACCGGCUAACUUCGUG